rnacentral:rRNA from 1 species
GAUGAACGCUAGCGGCAGGCUUAACACAUGCAAGUCGAACGGCAGCACAGGUAGCAAUACUGGGUGGCGAGUGGCGCACGGGUGCGUAACGCGUAUGCAACCUACCUCUAUCUGGGAGAUAGCCCGAAGAAAUUCGGAUUAAUACCCCAUAAUAUAUGUCUUUCGCAUGUUAGACAUAUUAAAGCUUUGGCGGAUAGAGAUGGGCAUGCGUGACAUUAGCUAGUUGGUAAGGUAACGGCUAACCAAGGCUACGAUGUCUAGGGGGUCUGAGAGGAUUAUCCCCCACACUGGUACUGAGACACGGACCAGACUCCUACGGGAGGCAGCAGUGAGGAAUAUUGGACAAUGGGCGAAAGCCUGAUCCAGCCAUGCCGCGUGCAGGAAGACGGCCCUAUGGGUUGUAACCUGCUUUUAUAUGGGAAUAAACCUCCGAACGUGUUCGGAGCUGAAGGUACCAUACGAAUAAGGAUCGGCUAACUCCGU